rnacentral:rRNA from 1 species
UACAGAGGGUGCAAGCGUUAAUCGGAUUUACUGGGCGUAAAGGGCGCGUAGGUGGUUGUUUAAGUGAGAUGUGAAAGCCCCCGGGCUCAACCUGGGAACUGCAUCUUAUACUGGGCAACUGGAGUACAUGAGAGGGUAGUGGAAUUUCCGGUGUAGCGGUGAAAUGCGUAGAUAUCGGAAGGAACACCAGUGGCGAAGGCGGGCU